UUCAGUUUGUUGCCGUUCCGGCCAAAGAAAUUGGUAUUUCCACCGUGAAUUUGGUGCCGUUGGGGACACCAACAAUUUUGUAUUGUCAACAACGUCAUUGUCACCACUGGCCUUUCCAGUGAGUGUUUCCUCCCAUUUCGUUACGUGUUCCACUUCCCAACAUGGGGAAGUGGAAACCUUCGUACAAGGUUGUCACAAAGAAGCGUGUGCUGUUGGUGACGGACAGCCAUGGGAGGGAACUGCAUCAUCUCCUGGAGAGGUCCAGUGACUAAUCAGUGACGGCUAUUGUUUCGCCCAACGGCACCAUGAAUUACAUUUUGGACAACGCCCUGUUAUACCAAAACAAGUACGAUGAAGUGAUAGUCAUGGCUGGGACGAACGACAUCAAUGACCAAGGUUUCAUUAAUAAUGACUUUUUUAAUGCACUAGGCAAGUUAAUUAAACUUUCUCAAUUGAACAAUUUAACCAUUAUUAACUUGCCUAGGAGGAGAGAUGUUGUUUCGCCUGCCGUGCAUCGUGCACGUGCAAGCUUAAAUGCCACUUUAAAAAACAUUAAGUCUGCCAAUUUCAUUGACAUUUCGAAUUUCAAAAGACAAUUUUUCACUAGUCAUGGCUUGCACAUGAACAUGCACGGCAAGCAUGAACUUGCUGUUGUAAUUUUAAAUUCAAUUGGCGUCAAAUCUGACAAGAAAAUUAUAUUUACUUUUAAUGAACAAGUACGGCGCAUUAGACGCCCAAAAAACUAAAUUCUGUUGGUAGAGUGUUGUCAUUUACUCGUGGAUUUAGUGAUUGAUUUUCAUUUUCCACGGUUUUAAAUUCCAAUUACUUUUUCCAUAUAUCAUUGUAAUUAAUUUAAUUCAACAUGAUGCCUCAAAAUCGACGCGUAGAGUUGCCCGAUUGUAGGGUCCUGCUACGUAGAUUGUCGACAGAAGAAAUUGGCAACUAUUUGGCCGUUCGUGACUUACGAAUUGCCGUUAACGAGCGGCCAAAUAAUGAGGCCGAAAUUAAUAUU